rnacentral:rRNA from 1 species
UACGUAGGGUGCAAGCGUUAAUCGGAAUUACUGGGCGUAAAGCGUGCGCAGGCGGUCUGUUAAGACCGAUGUGAAAUCCCCGGGCUUAACCUGGGAACUGCAUUGGUGACUGGCAGGCUUUGAGUGUGGCAGAGGGAGGUAGAAUUCCACGUGUAGCAGUGAAAUGCGUAGAGAUGUGGAGGAAUACCGAUGGCGAAGGCAGCCUCCUGGGCCAACACUGACGCUCAGGCACGAAAGCGUGGGGAGCAAACAGG